rnacentral:rRNA from 1 species
AUUGAACGCUGGCGGCAGGCUUAACACAUGCAAGUCGAGCGGGGGGAGGUAGCUUGCUACCGGACCUAGCGGCGGACGGGUGAGUAAUGCUUAGGAAUCUGCCUAUUGGUGGGGGACAACAUCUCGAAAGGGAUGCUAAUACCGCAUACGUCCUACGGGAGAAAGCAGGGGAUCUUCGGACCUUGCGCUAAUAGAUGAGCCUAAGUCGGAUUAGCUAGUUGGUGGGGUAAAGGCCUACCAAGGCGACGAUCUGUAGCGGGUCUGAGAGGAUGAUCCGCCACACUGGGACUGGAACACGGCCCAGACUCCUACGGGAGGCAGCAGUGGGGAAUAUUGGACAAUGGGGGGAACCCUGAUCCAGCCAUGCCGCGUGUGUGAAGAAGGCCUUAUGGUUGUAAAGCACUUUAAGCGAGGAGGAGGCUACUUUAGUUAAUACCUAGAGAUAGUGGACGUUACUCGCAGAAUAAGCACCGGCUAACUCUGUGCCAGCCGCCGCAGUAA